GGAAAGGACCAGUGUUGUGUCUUAGAUGGGAUGAUGCAGGUGGAUGAGCAAGGGGCUGUAUUUCAGGAUGGAGCAUGUCUCUGGUACCCAUUUGGUGCAAUAACCAAAGUGUCUCAGCUGUGCUGCCUGGGAUAGAUCAUGCUUCUAGGAGGAAGGGUUGCUGGAUACAUCUCCAAACAUGUCUGGACCACCCGGGGAAUGGGGAAGAUACGGUUGAGUUUCUGUGUCACGAACUGGAUUGAUGAGGACACUGAUGCUACCCAUAUCCUUCUCCCAAAUCCUCUCUGAACAAGGUUUUAAAAGGCAAAGCAAAUGAUUGCAUUUCUUUCUGGGUGAGGGUGAUGGAGGACAGGGUUGAUUUCUAACUUGCACACUGGGCAAGAGCUCAGGGCAACAUUCUGCUUAGGAACCAAGACAAGAAACUGUGGUGAAAGGGCCUUCAGAUAGGUCUAUAGCUGGUUUCUUCUUGUGCUUCCUUUAUGGUACCUUCACAUUUCUCUGAUCUCUCUGAUUUGCAGCUCUUCUUCUGAAAGCCCCUUCUGAAUGGUGAUCUGGGUGAAUUGGAGUUUCUUGUUCAUCAUGCAACAGUGGGCACAUCUCAUUAUCUUGUUUGUGCCAGACAUCCAAAUAGAUCUGUGGGGCAGCUCACAGUUACUCAUUGUGUUUGUGGCCACCAGAACUUGGCCAAAUUCCUCUGGUUGCUCUGGCAGCUGUUGUUAUACCAAAAGAUUGGCUAAAUGCAACACAGGAACAAAGACACAGACAUGAGAUCCUUUUAGCAAUGCACAGUUAGUUGGUGAGGGGUUUUUUUUUAUCUUCACUGUACAUUCCUUUCAUGUUCUUCAGCAUCUAAGCCCCAGUUGCUCUACGGUGACUUACCUUUCCAUGUGACUUCUCUUUUCUUUGAAGAGUUCCUAUCACACACGUUUUCCAGAAAUGUGGAUGCCAUAUUGCUCCUUUUUAGCAUAACCUUUCACAACAUGGAGAGAUACUGCAGUCAAAGGCCUGAGUGGGAAAUUCUUCGUCACUGAUACUGUGCCCUUUUUUAUUCUCC
rnacentral:lncRNA from 1 species